UGGGGAUUGGUGUAACGGUAGCACGAGUGACUCUGACUCACUUAGUCUAGGUUCGAAUCCUAGAUCCCCAG
rnacentral:tRNA from 2 species